rnacentral:rRNA from 1 species
CCCAUCAGAACUCCCAAGUUAAGCGUGCUUGGGCGAGAGAAGUAUUAGGACGGGCCCCCCCGGGGAAGUCGUGGGGUUGCCCCC